rnacentral:tRNA from 1 species
UUAGUUAAAGCCAAAAAGAGGCUAAUCGCUGUUAACGAUUUUAUUGUUUAAUCUAACUAUU